rnacentral:rRNA from 1 species
GCGUUAGUUAUUAUCAUGAGCUAGCGAUGUUUCAUUCAAAUUUCUGAUCUAUCAAUUUAGGAAGGUUGGGUAGUGGCCAACCUUGAUUAUGACGGGCAACGGGGAAUCAGGGUUCGGUACCGGAGAGGGGGCCUGAGAGAUGGCCACCACAUCCAAGGAUGGCAGCAGGCGCGCAACUUACCCAAAUCUCGACAUGAGGAGGUAGUGACAAGAAAUAUCGGCGCGGGGCUCUAAAAGAGUCUUGUAAUGCUGAAAUGAGGACAGUUUAAAACUCUUACCGAUAAGCAAUUAGAGGGCAAGUCUGGUGCCAGCAGCCGCGGUAAUACCAGCUCUAAUAGUGUAUGUUAAAGUUGUUGCAGUUAAAACGCUCGUAGUUGGAAUAUCGAAUGAAGUUAAUAAAGCGCGGGGAAAUUAUUUAUAAUUUUUCGAGCGAGUACUAAUAACAUUUGAGGGUUUAGUUAAUUUAGAAGUCUUUAUUUAUUAUAUUGUAUGCUUGCCGCUUUGGCCUCAUGGAGGACGAAGAAGAGCGACAUAUAAUAUAAAAAUAAUUGAGCUUUUUUCAAUUAAUUAAAUUCGAUUUUUUUCCUCUGUGGUAUUAAGUUACUGUGGGGGACGAUUACUUUGAGCAAAGAUUAGUGUUCAAAGCAGGCCAAAAGGCUUGAGAUAUCUAGCAUGGGAUAAUGGAAUAAGACUUUGGUUUUAUUUUGUUGGUUUAUAGGGCCGAAGUAAUGGUUAAUAGGGACAGUUCGGGGGCGUUGAUAUUCAAUAGGGAGAGGUGAAAUUCAAUGAUCUAUUGAGGAUCGACAGAAGCGAAAGCGUUCGCCAAGGAUGUUUUCAUUGAUCAAGAACGAAAGUUAGGGGAUCGAAGACGAUUAGACACCGUCGUAGUCCUAACCAUAAACGAUCUCGACUGGGGAUUGGAAGAGACAUUCUUUGGAAGGAUCUCAUUCAGGACCCACUGAGAAAUCAAUAAGUGUUUGGAGUCUGGGGGGAAGUAUAGUCGCAAGGCAGAAACUUAAAGGAAUUGACGGAAGAGCACCACAAGAAGUGGAUUCUGUGGCUCAAUUUGACCCAACGCGGGGAAACUUACCAGGACCGGACCGAAAUAGGAUUGACAGAUUAAUAGCUCUUUCAUGAUUUUCGGAUUGGUGGUGCAUGGCUGUUCUUAGUUGGUGAAGUGAUUUGUCUGUGUUAAUUCCGUUAACGAGCGAGACCUCAGCCUCUUACUAGUGAUUUAAAAG